ACCAAGUGUAUUUUAACAUAACUAAAUGUUUAAACUUUAGAUCUUUAUUUUAAACUUUACCAUUAUUUUAAGAAGUUUUUGCUAGGGUAAAUGUUUUCCAUAAGUUUUUUUUUUCUUUCUUUUAUAUAUCGGAUAAAGGGAUUACAUUUGUUCUCUGAGUUUUUAUAGAAGCCCCAUCGCUAUCACCAUCACUAUUUUGAUUUUUCCAAGAUGGCCGUUUUUGUUUCGCGAACGUUCUGCGACGAGAGUUCGGCAACUUGCGUGACUUACGAACAGAACUGCCUAAUUGAGGAGGGGAUGCCCAGCUUCAGCAGCUUCAAUGUGCGAGGAACACUCCAGCCCCCUCAACAAAGCUGGAGUGCCGCUUGUGCCUG